GGUUCGGAUUCGGGUUUACCCGAAGUAUCCAAAUAUUAGAAAUUUUGUAUCCGAUUCUAUGCAAAGUAUUAAAAAAUACUCAAAAAAUCUAUAAAACUCAAGUAUUUUAUACCCGAAUGUAACCCAAAGUAGUUAAAACAUCCGGAAAUAUCUUAACAUCCGAAUAAUUUAGGCACUUAGGUUAUUACAAGUAUAAAUAUUACUAAUAUAUUAUAACUAUGUACUUAUAUUUGGGUAUGUUCGGGUACUUGUUCGGGUUCGAGUUCGGGUCGGGUUCGGGUUCGGGUUUUUGGGUUGUGAAGUUUAGAACCCGUUCGGGUAUUUUAAAACUUCGGGUUCGGAUUCGGAUCGGGUUUUUCGGGUCGGGUUCGGUUCGGUUCUUCGGGUUCGGAUAUUAUGCCC
rnacentral:lncRNA from 1 species